rnacentral:rRNA from 1 species
UACGGAGGGGGCUAGCGUUAUUCGGAAUUACUGGGCGUAAAGCGCACGUAGGCGGCUCUGUAAGUUAGAGGUGAAAGCCUGGAGCUCAACUCCAGAAUUGCCUUUAAGACUGCAUCGCUUGAAUCCAGGAGAGGUGAGUGGAAUUCCGAGUGUAGAGGUGGAAAUUCGUAGAUAUUCGGAAGAACACCAGUGGCGAAGGCGGCUCACUGGACUGGUAUUGACGCUGAGGUGCGAAAGCG